rnacentral:rRNA from 1 species
AUACAUGCAAGUCGAACGCGUCUUGGUUAUUGAUGUUAGAUGCUUGCAUUUAACUGAUUUAACAUUGAGACGAGUGGCGAACUGGUGAGUAACACGUGGGUAACCUGCCCUUGAAGUAGGGGAUAACACUUGGAAACAGGUGCUAAUACCGUAUAACAACCAAAACCACCUGGUUUUGGUUUAAAAGAUGGCUUCGGCUAUCACUUUAGGAUGGACCCGCGGCGUAUUAGCUUGUUGGUAAGGUAACGGCCUACCAAGGCAAUGAUACGUAGCCGACCUGAGAGGGUAAUCGGCCACAUUGGGACUGAGACACGGCCCAAACUCCUACGGGAGGCAGCAGUAGGGAAUCUUCCACAAUGGACGAAAGUCUGAUGGAGCAACGCCGCGUGAGUGAUGAAGGGUUUCGGCUCGUAAAACUCUGUUGUUGGAGAAGAACAGGUGUGAGAGUAACUGUUCACAUCUUGACGGUAUCCAACCAGAAAGCCACGGCUAACUACGUGCCAGCAGCCGCGGUAAUACGUAGGUGGCAAGCGUUAUCCGGAUUUAUUGGGCGUAAAGCGAGCGCAGGCGGUUUUCUAAGUCUGAUGUGAAAGCCUUCGGCUUAACCGGAGAAGUGCAUCGGAAACUGGAUAACUUGAGUGCAAGAGAGGACAGUGGAACUCCAUGUGUAGCGGUGGAAUGCGUAGAUAUAUGGAAGAACACCAGUGGCGAAGGCGGCUGUCUAGCUUGCAACUGACGCUGAGGCUCGAAAGCAUGGGUAGCGAACAGGAUUAGAUACCCUGGUAGU